rnacentral:rRNA from 1 species
UACGUAGGGUGCAAGCGUUUGUCCGGAAUUAUUGGGCGUAAAGAGCUCGUAGGCGGUCUGUCGCGUCGGCUGUGAAAACCUGGGGCUUAACUCCGGGCCUGCAGCCGAUACGGGCAGACUAGAGUUCGGCAGGGGAGACUGGAAUUCCUGGUGUAGCGGUGAAAUGCGCAGAUAUCAGGAGGAACACCGGUGGCGAAGGCGGCUCUCUGGACCGUAACUGACGCUGAGGCACGAAAGCGUGGGUAGCAAACAGG